CAGUUUUCCACCAAGUUGAGGUGUCAAAGCUUUGCUGUGAAAAUGGCUUCUCUCAAAUCAUUCGCUUUGAUUGGACUUACCGGCGGCUACUUCAUUUUUGUUUGUAGCAUUUAUUACGCCAUCGAGAAUGUUACGAAAAUUGUCAAUGGUGACAACAUUGGAUUUAUUGGUAUGCCGGUGAAUCUUGCUUGGGUGUUGAUGACUUUCGCUUUCAUCGUCAGCAUUAAAAAGAAAAACCUUAAGCUUGCCUUUGACUUUACAAAAAGUUUUUUAUCACCAGCUUCAUAGGCACUGUUAUGCUCGAGGUGAUUCUAAUACAUGUUGAAGCUGAAAAUCAGGUGCAGAUUUACGGUACUACAGUGAACGUGUGGACUGUUACGGUGAUUGUGAUUGGAGUAGCAUUGGUCAUAUUUGCAGCCACUUUGUGGAUCAUCGCUCAAGUAAUUCGAUACAUUGAAAGUGAAAAUGAGACAGGAGAGGCAACUGAAAUUUUUAAACCAAUACAAUAAUAAUUGGUUGGUUGACAAUAAUAAUAUGCUGGAAAAUGUUUAAAAUGAGUCCAAAUAAAACUAAGCAUAAGCAUAAGCAUAAGCAUAGGUGCCCACCCGCAGUUGCUACUCCGUUAUUGACCAGGACCUCCAGAAGUUA